rnacentral:lncRNA from 1 species
AUUACAAUCCAGAAAAAAUACCCAAAUCUGAUUCGUCGCCAGAUGCGGCUCUUACUCAAAUUAAACUUCAUCCAACAUCUCAUGAUCAUCAUAGGGUGAACCACCAAAUAUGGGUUUGUAACUUCAUUUCAUUGUCCUUUUGCAAAUCAGUAAGUUCCUACAUGUCCUUAUUUUAUUUUUCCCUCAAAGAAAAUUAAAAAAAAACUAACAUUUUGAGUCUGAAUUCUGAGUUUUGGAUGCAGUGUCAGCGAUAAAAAUAGUAGAGUAUAGAGUGGCAGGACUGGAAGGAAGGCUAUUAUAGAAUUCUAUUUCUACCAAUUUAUGAUAAUCCUUCUUCCAUAGGGAAAAGGUAUUUUGUUAACUCUUCCCCCUUUUAAUAUUUUUAUUUUGGAUCUAUAUUUUGUUUUUUGCUAUACUGCAGUUUUGUUAAUCAUGGGUUCUGUCACUGUAUUUUCUUUUACAUACAUUAGAUUUUCCUCCAGGUUUAUAAUGAAUAUGGAGGUGUUUGAGAUGAAGUUUUUUCUUCUAGAGGGAAAAACUAUUCAUAUUAGUAAUUGGUUCCCUACACAUUACGAAACCAAAGCUUUGAUCUUUUACUGCCAUAAAAGGUGAACAUCUUACCCUAAUCAAAUUUUUGUUUUAAUUUCUCUUCACGCUGAAAUUGCUACAUGUACCUGCAUUAAUACAACCAAUAUUGGAUAUAUGAAAUCUAAUCAGAUAUACUCUUGCUUUUGCAUUUUAUGAUGUGAUCUCCUAGGGAAAAAAAUGCAUUUUUGUAUAGUUUUGUGAGUAUUUCAAAUUAGUUGAGAUUUAUGUCUCCUUUUGUGUAUUAUGGUGUUUGCUAUUUUGUGGGUGUAUGAAAUUUAAUCAGAUUUAACUUUUUUUGCUUUUUUGUUUUCUGGUGCUUAUCUCUUGUAUUCUUACUUAUGUUCCCAUGACUGGAUUAAAGUAUCAAACAAGGAAACCACAGGGAAAAAGGCCGGGAAAAAGCUCAAGUUGGGGCCGGUAAAGGCAACACCGUUAGAACAGGAGCUAUUGAUCUCGAUUUAAAAGUCAAAAUCUUGGGACUUUUUUUGGUUCAUCCAUAUUUUUGAGUUAGAAGAUAAUAAGCUAUGCAAAUCUUAUUUUUUGGUCUUCUGGAGUUUUUCUCCGUCCAUACAUGUCCAUUCUUGGUCUUUAUCCAAUGUAGGUGAGUAUGUCUUAACUUCUCCGGGU